CGGGCCAGGGCCGGUGGCCAUGGUUAGCGGGAAUAUCGGCUCAAUGUUGUGGCGGCCAAUGGGCGGGAUGCACGCGUGGCCGGGAAGGGAAGAGGGCGUGGUGACAGGUGUUAUGCCAUGCACUCCUAGGGCUCCAUGGCUGCUCUGGUCGGACACGGUUUUGGGGGCAUUCCCGUGAGAGCCUGUGCGUGGUUAGUAACAGGGGCGAGCAGAAUGGUAGUCGGGCACACAAUCCAGGCUCCUCUCGGGAUCAACUCAGGACUGUGAGAGGCAAAUUGGCUCAUCUCCAACUCAGCAAAGCUUUGAUCCCUGUUCGCCACUGCCUCACGAGCUCUUUGGCCUACAGGAAAGCAAUUAUCAAGGACACUCCCUCUUCAUUCCCGAGACUUGGGUCACAGUCGAGCCCCGUGCCGAUGCGUUUGUCAUCAGCAUCGGUGACACAUUCCAGGCACUGUGCAACCAUCGCUACAAGAGUGCCAAGCACCGCGCAGUGAUCCAUGCCACCCGAGCCAGGCACUCGCUGGUUUUCUUCAUCAACCCGGGGCUGGACAUGGUGAUCCGGCCGAUUCCAGAGCUGGUGGUCAAGAGCAAAGAAGACGAAGAGCAAGAUCGCAAGAGGCCGUGCGUGGAGUUUACUUGGGGGCAGCUGCUAGAAUUCACCCAGAAGCACUAUAGAACCGAUGUCCACACGCUGGACGCGUUUGAGAGCUACUUGAGGAAAACGAGCCAAGCAGCGUGAGGACGGACAGGGAAGAACGAAUGUAAAUUUGCCAGGAGGAGCCUACAGGAAAGCAAUUAUCAAGGACACUCCCUCUUCAACCCCGGAUUCUCUCGAGGCAUCCCUUCCUGGUGAGGGAUUGUUGUUUCAGCACAUGCUCGGGACCAACUCCGUUUGUAGGAACCAGGUGUUUCGAGUUGACGUAGGGCUGUCGAGUGGCUAGCCAACACUGCUCCUGAAGUUUUGGAAAUCUGACACGGCACUAAUGUCUGGUUUCUCUCGAAAGAGAAGGAGAAGCCACCGCAAGCAUUGCCUGGUUUAGCUUCGUUUUUAGAUCGAGGUAAGUCGUAAGUUUGAAUAUCUUUGUAUUCUAUGAUGUGUAGCAAGUGUUGGGAAAGGAUGGGAAAGCUGGCAUCAAUCGGUUUGUUGCAGUAGCCCAUGGAUAAAACUGUAGUUCGUGGAUAGAUGUAUGACAUUAUAGUCAGCAUUCCAGAAUCAAUCCUAAGAUAAAUUUGUUUAGAAUGAUCAUGUUAAAAUAAAUGGUGGCGCAGUUGGUCA